ensembl:rRNA 5S_rRNA 5S ribosomal RNA
GUCUAUGCCCAUUCCACCCGGACUGUGUCCGGCCUUGUCUGAUCUCACAAGCUAAGCAGGGUUGGGCCUGGUUAGUACUUGGAUAUGAGAAGUGAAUUAAUUUAAGUCAUUUUAAUUC